CCCUGCUACACUCAACUCCCCGUGGAGUGAAAGGGGUAUGGAAUUGCAGGUGCGGGUAAGGAUGACAUAGGCAGAGAAUUUUACCGUUAACAGGGAAUUUAUUUCCUUCACACUUUAAUUUGGGGGAAAAGGGGCUGGACAGAACCAAAGCAAAGAAAGUAAAAAGUUAAAGAGCCCCCUCUCCUACCCAUCUUAGCACGCCAAUACAGGGGACGGUCCGCCCAGGUCUUACCUAGUGUGCGUAGACAUAGUAAAUACUACGGGAAUAUGUAUUCCCAAGGUGCCUUCCCCUUCCCCCUGGGAACAAAAAUAGAAUAAUUACUAACGUAAAGUGAACAAUUUCAAUAAUCAAAAGGACUUUUGAUAUGCACAUACGUCUGCAGGACCGGCUACAAAAUACUUCACAACAAUUAUACAGACCAACAACAAAACACAAGACAUACCAAGAAGCUCUCUCUCCUAACAAAGGAACACUGGCUUUUAUCCAGCUGGGGAAGGAGUUUGUAAUUGCCGACAGCUGUAUCUCCUGACGAGAGGGCGGGGUCAGAGCUCCAAUCUGAAAUGGGGCCGACCAAUCAGCUGCUUUGGACUUCAGGAAGCCAUUUCCUGAAAUACACACAUACAUAAACCCAAAACACAGAAACUGGGGAAUGUAACAUCACUAGGGCUAAGCUUCCUGCCAUCCAGGACCUAUAUACUAGGCGGUGUCAGAGGAAGGCCCCCAAAAAAUUGUCAAAGACGCCAGUCACCCAAGUAAUAGACAGUUCCCUCUGCUACUGCACGACAAACGGUACUGGAGCGCCAAGUCUAGGUCUAAAAGGCUCCUUAACAGCUUCUACCCCCAAGCCAUAAGACUGCUGAACAAUUAAUCAAACGGCCACCCAGACUAUUUACAUUGAUCCCCCCGUUUUUACACGGUUGCUACUCGAUGUUUAUCAUCUACGUGUAGUCACUUUACCCCUACCUCCGUGUACAAAUUACCUUGACUACCCUGUACAUUGAUUCGGUACAGGCUUUUAAGUAAGCAUUUCACGGUAAGAUCCACGCCUGUUGUAGUCGGCACAUGUGACAAAUAAAAUUUGAUAAAACUCUUUAACAUGCCUCAACUUUAUACUGUAAUAACACCAGUUCAUGAUAAAUUCAUGUUAAAUUCUGUAAGUAUAAAACACUAUUGUUGUGAAAACAUGUCAAAAUGCCUUUCAUAUCUUAACAUGUUAUCUGCUUGCUCGCACACUAUUACAGUGAUUUUGUGAUGGGGAUUUCAGAAGUGGGACAAACCUAAAGUGCAAAAGUUAUAAUUAAAUUAAAAUGUAAGUAUUACCAAUUUCUGUUCUAAGAUGCUCCUUAAGAGCAAAUACCACCCCCCCCUUGUGAAUCCUCUCUAUAACACCAUCCACCCAAGUGCACAAAAUACAAAAGAUUACUUCUAAAUAUCUGCCAACAAGUUAUUACCAACUAAUUUCAACAGUAUAUUUGUUUUAAUCAUGGUCACAUGGGGGCCCCGUAUCUCAAUUUUGCAUGUACUUGUACACAGAGGAAUUGAUCCCACACAUUAUCGCACACACAUUCCCAGGUAGCACAAUAAAUACCAACCUAGUUCUUUUCUUUAGAAUGAUCCUAAAACAUCUCCUGAAUGCAAGGAUUAAAAUGAAACUAGAAUCUAAAUACAUCUAAAGGCAUAUACGGGUCUUCAUUUCCACCUCUCCUAAAAUAAGAAUAAUUUAUCAUCAUACUAUACUGUAAGCAUCUACACAAUCAUUUAUCAAUCCAUGCUUUUUUAGAGUUUCAAAAAUACACACAUUUUGCUCUAUGGUGGGAAAUAGUGUUAAAUUAAAUUAAUUAAAUGACAGGGUCAGUUCAUAAACGAAAGCAAUAAAAAUUAGCAAUAUUGGACAAUAGCAAUAAAAUAUUUUCCAGACUUCAGUGACUUAUGACAAAGCUUCAAGCACUUGACCUAAAUGCCCCUCAAAUAAGGGGACUACGCUGUAGUCCAUCCAGACAUAUCACAUUGCAGCUAGUCCAAGUAACAGUCAACAGGCCAUGUCAAAUCACUUGGCUGAACACAAACAGAACUUGGAAAUCAUGUCCAGCCCAUCGGAACCAUUGUUGCAUAGAAACUACAGUUCAAUAGGGAUCACUUUAAAAAAAGAAAAUGUAUUUGAAAGCCGAAGUAUAGGAUCCUUUCUUGCGCAGAAUAUCUGAAUGAAGUUGAAUGGUGGUCCAGUCUGCAGCUAACAGGCACUGCCACUCCAGAGCACUGCAACAAGGGGAAAUACAGGUUUCCAUUUCAAAGCAGCACCCUGAAACAGCAAACAAUAAGCACUCAAUUCAUUGGUACCCAACACCCAGAUACACAAUGUGAGACCAACAAUGUGCUCAAGUGUCCCGUUACUGUAUUUAAUGGAUGCCCUUUCAAUCAAUGAACUCGUGGGUUGAAUGUUCUUAGGUGUAGAAAAGUUGCUAUUCACUUGGUCCAGGGUUGCAUUCCGAUCCUUUACCCUUCUACCUAAAGUGUACACUUGCUUACACACCCUCAUGGAGUUAAAAGCAUUGGAUUAGUGUAAGCAUGGGCUAGGGAGUUUCCCUUUUACACCAGUCCAUUCCUUCUGACAUCCAUAAGGGGUGAAAGAGUCCACACUUCAGAGAGAAGGGGAGAGAAUCAGACUACAGCACUAGCCUGCACCUCCAUAUUAUGUAGAAGUGCAGUACAGAGCCCAUGUGUGUAGUUCUACAGAAUCUUUUCAGAUCAAUUGGAGAUGAACUAAGAAUG
ensembl:lncRNA